rnacentral:tRNA from 1 species
UGGUCCGUAGCUUAACCGGUAAAGCGCUGCACUGUGAAUGCGGAGAGUGCGGGUUCAAAUCCCGCCGGUCCACCCA